rnacentral:misc_RNA from 1 species
GCAAACUUGGUCAUUUAGAGGAAGUAAAAGUCGUAACAAGGUUUCCGUAGGUGAACCUGCGGAAGGAUCAUUAUUGAAUUUCCAAAGUAAAGGGUCGUUGCUGGCAAUACCUUCUUGCAUGUGCACGCCCGAUACACCGACACCUGUGCACCUAUUGACCGAAGCCCUUCCUUUGUUGGGAGGGGGGACGUCCUUAAUACACACGCCUUUGAAUAAACUUGUUUGAUAUAAUGGAACAACAUUAAAUGACAACUUUCAACAACGGAUCUCUUGGCUCUCGCAUCGAUGAAGAACGCAGC